AGAGUUUGAUCCUGGCUCAGGAUGAACGCUAGCGGCAGGCCUAAUACAUGCAAGUCGAACGGUAACAUGAGAGCUUGCUCUUGAUGACGAGUGGCGCACGGGUGCGUAACGCGUAUGCAACCUACCCUUUACUGGGGGAUAGCCCGGAGAAAUCCGGAUUAAUACCCCAUGGUACCAUAAUAUAACCUUAUAUAGUGGUUAAAGAUUUAUUGGUAAAGGAUGGGCAUGCGUGACAUUAGUUAGUUGGUAAGGUAACGGCUUACCAAGACGAUGAUGUCUAGGGGGUCUGAGAGGAUGAUCCCCCACACUGGUACUGAGACACGGACCAGACUCCUACGGGAGGCAGCAGUGAGGAAUAUUGGGCAAUGGACGCAAGUCUGACCCAGCCAUGCCGCGUGCAGGAUGACGGCGCUAUGCGUUGUAAACUGCUUUUAUACAGGAAGAAAUCCCCGAACGUGUUCGGGGUUGACGGUACUGUAAGAAUAAGCAUCGCUAACU
rnacentral:rRNA from 1 species